AGCCGCGGUAAUUCCAGCUCCAAUAGCGUAUAUUAAAGUUGUUGCAGUUAAAAAGNUCCGUAGUUGAAUUUCGAGAUCAAUUUGUUGGUCGUGCCUCGGUACGUACUGGCAAUUUUGAUUUCUCCCUUCUGAAGAACCAUGAUGUCAUUAAUUUGGUGUCAUGGGGAAUCAGGACCGUUACUUUGAAAAAUUAGAGUGUUUAAAGCAGGCUCGCGCUUGAAUACAUUAGCGUGGAAUAAUGAAAUAGGACGUUUGAUUCUAUUUUGUUGGUUUCUAGGGAUCGACGUAAUGAUUAAUAGGGAUAUUGGGGGCAUUAGUAUUCAAUUGUCAGAGGUGAAAUUCUUGGAUUUAUUGAAGACUAACUACUGCGAAAGCAUUUGCCAAGGAUGUUUUCAUUAAUCAAGAACGAAAGUUAGGGGGAUCGAAGACGAUCAGAUACCGUCGUAGUCUUAACCAUAAACUAUGCCGACUAGGGAUCGGAUGAUGUUAAUUUUUUAAUGACUCAUUCGGCGCCUUACGG
rnacentral:rRNA from 1 species